rnacentral:rRNA from 1 species
UACGGAGGAUCCAAGCGUUAUCCGGAAUCAUUGGGUUUAAAGGGUCCGUAGGCGGUUUGGUAAGUCAGUGGUGAAAGCCCAUCGCUCAACGGUGGAACGGCCAUUGAUACUGCCAGACUUGAAUUACUAGGAAGUAACUAGAAUAUGUAGUGUAGCGGUGAAUGCUUAGAUAUUACAUGGAAUACCAAUUGCGAAGGCAGGUUACUACUAGUGGAUUGACGCUGAUGGACGAAAGCGUGGGUAGCGAACAGG